rnacentral:tmRNA from 1 species
GGGGGUGUACUGGUUUCGACAGGUUUACGUUUGAUUCAAGCUGCAGUGGAGCGGUGACCAUAUCACCAACAAAAAAUAAACGCUAACAGAAACACAAGUUUCGCAUUCGCUGCAUAAGUUACGCUUAGAGCGUCGCAGCGUCCUGCCUGUCAUGUAGCCGUCAUUGACAGGUAGCGUAAAAAAACGGAUAGGGUGUCCCUGAUGUCUGUGAGGGAUGCAUGAAAAUCUACAGGCAGAUUCAACAGGUGGAUAGACCGCUGUCAUGCCUGUUGUCUUACCAACAGCGGUAUAAACUGUAGAGGCUUGAAUGUGGGGCGACUCUUGGACAGGGGUUCGAUUCCCCUCACUUCCAC